rnacentral:lncRNA from 1 species
GGGGCCCAUAUACAAUUUCUGUUCAUGUUGUUGAAAAGUGGUUAAGAAGUUUUUAAAAGGAAAACUAUAUAAGAAGUUUACUGGCAACCAAUGGGCAAUUGAUAAUGUGUGCCAAAUGAGAACUUAAGCUGACAAAGACAUUGGGCAAGGAAAAGUUAAAAUGAAGGAAAGCACAGUUUUCAUUCUAUAGGUGUUCAGUGCUUAAUCCGAUCACCAUUCCAACAUUGUCUUAUGCAUCUUUAUUAUUUUUUGCAAAAACUUACUAGUCUGAUUACAUUUUGAUAGUCCUGGGCUUGGGACUAGUAGCUAGCAGUGCCAACUUUUCAUGUGUACAUAUCAAGAAGGUACAAUAUGGUCAGUUUUCAGAUAAAGGAUCACACAGCAUCACAAAUCUUUCUAAAAACAUCCUUAAAUGUUCUUUACACAUUAGUCUGCUAGUUAGCAGUAAUUAUAUCUUUGAAUUUCUCUAUGAUAUUUGCUUUAGGCCUCUAAAACCUUUUGAAU